rnacentral:rRNA from 1 species
CUAAAUACUAACACGAGUCCGAUAGCAAACAAGUACCGUGAGGGAAAGUUGAAAAGUACUUUGAAGAGAGAGUAAACAGUGCGUGAAACUGCUCAAAGGUAAACGGGUGGAGUUGAACUGCAAGCUCUGGGGAUUCAGCUGAUGAGUGUUACUAGCGCUUGGGCUUGUUGGCCAGCCUUCUGAUGUCUGUCUAGUGGCAGGUGCCUUCCCUUGGGGUUGGUAUGUGUGAUGCGCUUACCAUGUGCCGCACGCAUUGAGGGUAAUGGGUCUGCUUGUCAGUGCACUUUCUCAGAGUGUUCACCACGACCGGCACGGCCGUCUGUCUGCUUUGAUCAAACUGAUCAGGUCUGGUUAUUGCUAGGCUUGGUUAGGAUGGCAGGUAGCUCAUGUUCAUUUGAUGGACUUUGGGUAUAAUGAGCUGGCCAUUGUGGAUCUGUACGGUGUGUCGGAGAUGGCGGCUUUGCAUACGUGCUCUGUCCUCUUGGCGGGAUUGAGUCCGGUCGGCUGGUUACUGACUUCGGUUAGUCGGUCGAUGGCUUGGUCUUGUUCAUUGGGCGGUUGCGUGUGUAACUUGGUUUGGGCCAAUAGUCUGUGGUGUAGUGGUAGACGAUCCACCUGACCCGUCUUGAAACACGGACCAAGGAGUUUAACAUAUGCGCGAGUCAUUGGGCCAUACGAAACCCAAAGGCGAAGUGAAGGUGAAGGUUUGGCUUGUCCGAACUGAGGUGAGAUCCCGUUUGUUUGCCUGUUUACUUUCCAAGUUGCGAAUAGCGGGCGCAUCACCGGCCCGUCCCAUGGCGUAGACAUAUGACCUUGUGUUGUGUGCACCGUCGGGGCGGAGCAAGAGCGCAUACGUUGAGACCCGAAAGAUGGUGAACUAUGCUUGCUAAGGU